CUUAACGAGGAACAAUUGGAGGGCAAGUCUGGUGCCAGCAGCCGCGGUAAUUCCAGCUCCAAUAGCGUAUAUUAAAGUUGUUGCAGUUAAAAAGCCCGUAGUUGAACUUCAGGCCUGGUGGGGUGGUCCGCUUAACGGCGUGUACUGCUCUGCUGGGUCUUACCUCUUGGUGAGCCGGCGUGGCCUUCACUGGUUGCGUCGGGGAACCAGGACUUUUACCUUGAGAAAAUUAGAGUGUUCAAAGCAGGCCUAUGCCUGAAUACAUUAGCAUGGAAUAAUAAAAUAGGACGUGCGGUUCUAUUUUGUUGGUUUCUAGAGUCGCCGUAAUGAUUAAUAGGGAUAGUUGGGGGCAUUGGUAUUGAGUCGCUAGAGGUGAAAUUCUUGGAUUGACUCAAGACCGACUACUGCGAAAGCAUUUGCCAAGGAUGUUUUCAUUAAUCAAGGACGAAGGUUAGGGGAUCGAAAACGAUCAGAUACCGUUGUAGUCUUAACAGUAAACUAUGCCGACUAGGGAUCGGGCGACCUCAAAUUUGAUGUGUCGCUCGGCACCUUACGAGAAAUCAAAGUUUUUGGGUUCUGGGGGGAGUAU
rnacentral:rRNA from 1 species